ACUCAAAGGAAUAGACGGGGGCCCGCACAAGCGGAGGAACAUGUGGUUUAAUUCGAUGAUACGCGAGGAACCUUACCUGGGUUUGAACGUAGAGAGACCGGUGCCGAAAGGUGCCUUCCCUUCGGGGCUGUCUACGAGGUGCUGCAUGGUUGUCGUCAGCUCGUGCCGUGAGGUGUCGGAUUAAGUUCCAUAACGAGCGCAACCCUUAUCGUUAGUUGCCAGCGGGUAAUGCCGGGGACUCUAACGAAACUGCCGGUGUAAACCGUGAGGAAGGUGGGGAUGACGUCAAAUCAGCACGGCCCUUACAUCCAGGGCUACACACGUGUUACAAUGGCCAUUACAAAGGGCAGCUACUUCGCGAGAAGAUGCUAAUCUCUAAAAAUGGUCUCAGUUCGGAUUGAAGUCUGAAACCCGACUUCAUGAAGCUGGAUUCGCUAGUAAUCGCGCAUCAGCCAUGGCGCGGUGAAUACGUUCCCGGGCCUUGCACACACCGCCCGU
rnacentral:rRNA from 1 species